UCGGCUCCCUGGGCAUGGCACAGGAUGUGAGAGCCCACCAGACCUCCACCCCCAAUGCCGAGCAUGGCAGGGCCCCCAACGGCUGGGCCUUCUCCCGCCCCAUGUGUCUGCCCAUCCCUCCCACAGGUAGACCCCUACCUACCCUACGAGUACACCUGCGAGGGGAUGCUGGAGCGGAUCCACGCCUACAUCCAGCACCAGGACUUCUGCAUAGCUCCAGGCCCUGCCCUACCAGAGGCCCACGCCCCGCAGAGCCCCUUUGUCCUGGCCCCCAAUGCCACCCACCUCGAGUGGGCUCGGAACACCAGCUUGGCUCCUGGGGCCUGGCCCCCCGCGCACGCCCUGCGGGCCUGGCUGGCCGUGCCUGGGAGGGCCUGCACCGACACCUGCCUGGACCACGGGCUGAUCUGUGAGCCCUCCUUCUUCCCCUUCCUGAACAGCCAGGAUGCCUUCCUCAAGCUGCAGGUACCCUGUGACAGCACCGAGUCGGAGAUGAACCACCUGUACCCGGCCUUCGCCCAGCCUGGCCAGGAGUGCUACCUGCAGAAGGAGCCUCUGCUCUUCAGCUGCGCCGGCUCCAACACCAAGUACCGCCGGCUCUGCCCCUGCCGCGACUUCCGCAAGGGCCAGGUGGCCUUGUGCCAGGGCUGUCUGUGAGUCCGCCUCUGCCGCCCUGCCUGGCACCCACGCUGGCUCUCUCCUGCCGCAGGAGAAAGCACCAGCAGGUUCUGAGCCCUGGCUGCUUGUCCUCCUCGCAACCCCUCCGGGCCGGAGCUUCCUUCCUUAGCCGGGAAGCUGGCAGAGGAGAGCCGUGCCCGGGAAUAGGAGGAGGCAGCACGCCGAGCCCCUGGGACCUCCCAGGCAGGCUCCGGUUCUCUCCUGGGGACUCACGGCAGCAUCAUGGCCAAGCAGGUGUCGGACUGCUCAGAGUCCGCAUGGCCCAGGAGCAGGAGGUCGGAGGCCCCUGGCUUUGUGCAAGGCCGGAUCUGGGCCAGGUGGCGAAAGGGGCCCAGUCAUUCUUGGGCCCAGGAUGGGGCCUCUAGACUUGAGAGGAGCAGGGACCAGGCUGCCCCACGGUCCCUGAAGGGUCCAAGGAAGGGCCCUCUCCAUGGCCCUGGAGAGCGGGCCUGGGUGGUACCUGCUCCAGGCAGGGAAACUGGGGGCUCGCCCUUCUCCUGUGGGGGGAGCCAGGCACACAGGGCCCAUUGGUGUUUGGGAUGUGGACAGAGGGGCAGGGGGCUGGGAGAAGGCUAAGCCAAGGGGUCCUGCUUGUGCCUCCCCUUAGUCCCUUCCCUCCCGAUUUCCCGAUUCCCCCACCCUCCCUCUACACUUGAGGACCACAGCUGGGGGUGUAGGGACCACCCAGACCCUCGUUGAAUUGUUUCUCUCUCCUGCUUGUUCCAACCCUUUUCACUCUGGGCUUCUCCCAAAACCCAUCCUGGCAUGACCUGCGACUCCAGACGGUGGAUUUGUUCCAAAGCCUCAAUCCCUACACCCUCCAAGGGGCAGGUUUCCACUCCAGCCUCAGAGAUCAGGCUCUGGGACCCCCACCCAGGGGUGGCCUUCAUGCACCAGCCACUUCCGCAGGUGCUGACUCCCCCACUCCCUGGCAUUUUUGCAGACAAGGGCUUGGGAUGGACCCUCAGCCCCAUGGUACGCCCUGCCCAGUUUCCAGUUGCCCUGUCCACUUACCCUAGGUAGCCCCCCACCCCAUCAGUGCCAAGUCCUUGUCCCUACCUCCAGCUUCCUCCAGCCUCAAACCGCCUCUGGAUCUAGCUGUCUUUCUCCGAGUGGCACGCCUGCCCCAGGAUGCCCCCUUUCCCUCCCCCCAUGCCCAGAACCCCGCCUGCCUCAGCGGGUCAGGCCUUCAGAACACUGCCACCCACCCAGUUUUAUAAUCCCGCUCCCUCUCCAGGCAACCCCACCCACCAACCUAGGCCUGCUCCUCCACCCUUCCCGGGAGGCAGCCCCAGGAUGCUGAGAGUUGGUGGAGGGGCCAGGCUGGACGCUUCCCGUGGGAGUCCCCUCCAGACCUGGCUGGCCCCUGCAGCCACAGAAACCACGAUGGCAAAAAAUCUCAUUGGUUCCCAAGGACUAACCUGUGGGGGAAAGCAAUAGAGACACUCUUUUUCUCUCUUUUUUUAAAGAUUUAUUUCUUGAAAUAAUAAAUAUUUUAUUGGGAUGUGAGAUGUGGAAGAGGAA
rnacentral:sRNA from 1 species